rnacentral:rRNA from 1 species
GAUGAACGCUGGCGGCGUGCCUAAUACAUGCAAGUCGAGCGAACAGACGAGGAGCUUGCUCCUCAGACGUGAGCGGCGGACGGGGGAGUAACACGUGAAUAACCUACCUAUAAGACUGGGAUAACUUCGGGAAACCGGAGCUAAUACCGGAUAAUAUAUUGAACCGAAUGGUUCAAUAGAGAAAGACGGUUUUGCUGUCACUUAUAGAUGGAUCCGCGCCGCAUUAGCUAGUUGGUAAAGUAACGGCUUACCAAGGCAACGAUGCGUAUCCGACCUCAGCGGUGGGUCGGCGACACUGGAACUGAGACACGCCCCAGACUCCUACGGCAGGCAGCAGUAGGGAAUCUUACUCAAUGGGCGAAAGCCUGACGGAGCAACGCCGCGUGAGUGAUGAAGGUCUUCGGAUCGUAAAACUCUGUUAUUAGGGAAGAACAAAUGUGUAAGUAACUAUGCACGUCUUGACGGUACUGAGUCAGAAAGCCACGGCUAACUACGUG